CAUGACAGGUACUAAGCAGGCUCCUUUGUUUAGCGGCCUGUUGUCUAUAUAGUCUAGCGUUGCACAACACACACAGUUCUGUGCGCUCAGUUUGCUGUGAUUCUGCAAAGGGGGUGGGCUGAAUGUUUAUGUGCUUAUCAUGUUCCAGAGCGUGCCUUCAGUGUUACACAAGAAAAUGAGACUUCGUGAGUUAUGAUAUCAGUGCAAUUCUGUGAGAAUUUGCUAUGAAGAUCACCGACAGUGAGAGUUGCGCAACAUUUAGCCUGUAUGGCUGCCACUUCCCAUAAUUUUCUUCUAAGUUCUCCAGAAAGAAUAACAGUUUUGUGGCCAGGAAGGAAUCCCAUCAGUCCUUGUGUAAGACACUCCUGGGGCCAUGUCGUCACCAAGGCCUUGUCCUACAUGAGCUACAGAAGCAACUGAUAGUGAGUGACUUCUGGAUAACUUCUGGAUACGUGACACUCCAGCAACAGCAAUGGGCGGAAAGCUCAGGUGUCCUGUGUGCAAGUGACCAUGCCGCACUACAAGGUGGCUGCUUGGAGCCAACCAGGUGUUUCUACAAAACGGCGGCCCUAAACUGUAGCUGAAGAGUAAGGCUACAAAAUUACGUUUAAGAAAAUAAAGCGAAAAUGAAUGUUGUGCAUGAAACUUAGAAAGGGAGGAAUCUCCAUGGAGAAUUUCAUAAAUAUGAACAACAAAGAUCAC